GACGAACGCUGGCGGCGUGCUUAACACAUGCAAGUCGAACGGAAAGGCCCUGCUUUUGUGGGGUGCUCGAGUGGCGAACGGGUGAGUAACACGUGAGUAACCUGCCCUUGACUUUGGGAUAACUUCAGGAAACUGGGGCUAAUACCGGAUAGGAGCUCCUGCUGCAUGGUGGGGGUUGGAAAGUUUCGGCGGUUGGGGAUGGACUGGCGGCUUAUCAGCUUGUUGGUGGGGUAGUGGCUUACCAAGGCUUUGACGGGUAGCCGGCCUGGGAGGGUGACCGGCCACAUUGGGACUGAGAUACGGCCCAGACUCCUACGGGAGGCAGCAGUGGGGAAUAUUGCACAAUGGGCGGAAGCCUGAUGCAGCAACGCCGCGUGCGUGAUGACGGCCUUCGGGUUGUAAACCGCUUUCGCCUGUGACGAAGCGUGAGUGACGGUAAUGGGUAAAGAAGCACCGGCUAACUACGUG
rnacentral:rRNA from 1 species